GGAGUUAGCCGGUGCUUCUUCUGUGAGUGAUGUCCUUCCUGCCGGCUAUUAACCCGCAGGCCUUCUUCCUCACUGAAAGUGCUUUACAACCCGAAGGCCUUCUUCACACACGCGGCAUGGCUGGAUCAGGGUUGCCCCCAUUGUCCAAUAUUCCCCACUGCUGCCUCCCGUAGGAGUCUGGGCCGUGUCUCAGUCCCAGUGUGGCUGAUCAUCCUCUCAGACCAGCUACGGAUCGUCGCCUUGGUGAGCCGUUACCUCACCAACCAGCUAAUCCGACAUAGGCUCAUCCGAUAGCGCGAGGCCCGAAGGUCCCCCGCUUUCCCCCGUAGGGCCGUAUGCGGUAUUAGCCUGGGUUUCCCCAGGUUAUCCCCCACUACCGGGCAGAUUCCUAUGCAUUACUCACCCGUCCGCCGCUCGCCACCAGGGAGCAAGCUCCCCGUGCUGCCGCUCGACUUGCAUGUGUUAGGCCUGCCGCCAGCGUUCAAUCUGAGCCAGAAUCAAACUCUGA
rnacentral:rRNA from 1 species